AGCGGUAAGGCCUUUCGGGGUACACGAGCGGCGAACGGGUGAGUAACACGUGGGUGAUCUGCCCUGCACUCUGGGAUAAGCUUGGGAAACUGGGUCUAAUACCGGAUAUGACCGCAUGCCGCAUGGUGUGUGGUGGAAAGAUUUAUCGGUGCAGGAUGGGCCCGCGGCCUAUCAGCUUGUUGGUGGGGUAAUGGCNNACCAAGGCGACGACGGGUAGCCGACCUGAGAGGGUGACCGGCCACACUGGGACUGAGACACGGCCCAGACUCCUACGGGAGGCAGCAGUGGGGAAUAUUGCACAAUGGGCGGAAGCCUGAUGCAGCGACGCCGCGUGAGGGAUGAAGGCCUUCGGGUUGUAAACCUCUUUCAGCAGGGACGAAGCGUGAGUGACGGUACCUGCAGAAGAAGCACCGGCUAACUACGUGCCAGCAGCCGCGGUAAUACGUAGGGUGCGAGCGUUGUCCGGAAUUACUGGGCGUAAAGAGUUCGUAGGCGGUUUGUCGCGUCGUUUGUGAAAACCCGGGGCUCAACUUCGGGCUUGCAGGCGAUACGGGCAGACUUGAGUGUUUCAGGGGAGACUGGAAUUCCUGGUGUAGCGGUGAAAUGCGCAGAUAUCAGGAGGAACACCGGUGGCGAAGGCGGGUCUCUGGGAAACAACUGACGCUGAGGAACGAAAGCGUGGGUAGCAAACAGGAUUAGAUACCCUGGUAGUCCACGCCGUAAACGGUGGGCGC
rnacentral:rRNA from 1 species